CCGUCAUUAGGGUUUGAUCAUGGCUCAGGACGAACGCUGGCGGUGCGCCUUAUGCAUGCAAGUCGAGCGAAGCUUUUCAGUAGUUUACUACAGAAAAUGACUGAGCGGCGAACGGGUGAGUAACGCGUGAGCAAUCUACCUUAGUUACAGGGAUAGCCCGAGGAAACUCGGAUUAAUACCUGAUAUUCUUUAUUUCUCGCAUGAGAAUAAAAGGAAAGGUCAGCCGAACUAAGAUGAGCUCGCGUUCUAUCAGCUAGUUGGUGAGGUAAAAGCUUACCAAGGCUACGACGGAUAGCUGGUCUGAGAGGACGAUCAGCCACACUGGGACUGAGACACGGCCCAGACUCCUACGGGAGGCUGCAGCAGGGAAUAUUGUGCAAUGAACGAAAGUUUGACACAGCGACACCGCGUGUGGGAUGACGGAUCUAGGUUUGUAAACCACUUUCAGGAGGGAAGAAAAUGACGGUACCUCCACAAGAAGCCCCGGCCAACUACGUGCCAGCAGCCGCGGUAAUACGUAGGGGGCGAGCGUUGUCCGGAUUUAUUGGGCGUAAAGAGCUCGUAGGCGGUUCAACAAGUCGGUCGUGAAAGUUCAGGGCUCAACCCUGAAAUGUCGAUCGAUACUGUUGUGACUAGGAUACGGUAGAGGUGAGUGGAAUUCCGAGUGUAGCGGUGAAAUGCGUAGAUAUUCGGAGGAACACCAAUUGCGAAGGCAGCUCACUGGGCCGCUAUCGACGCUGAGGAGCGAAAGCUAGGGGAGCAAACAGGAUUAGAUACCCUGGUAGUCCUAGCUGUAAACGAUGGAUACUAGAUGUAGGAACUGGAUUGACGGUUUCUGUAUCGCAGCUAACGCGUUAAGUAUCCCGCCUGG
rnacentral:rRNA from 1 species